rnacentral:tRNA from 1 species
CUAAAAGUAAGUUAAAAAAACUAUUGGGCUCAUAACCCUAAAAUGAUAUUAUCCUUUUAGA